CAGUAGCCGCGGUAAUACGAAGGGGGCUAGCGUUGUUCGGAAUUACUGGGCGUAAAGCGCACGCAGGCGGCUCGAUAAAUUAGAAGUGAAAGCCUUGGGCUUAACCUGAGAAUUGCUUUUAAGACUGUCGAGCUAGAAUCCAGAAGAGGGUAGUGGAAUUCCGAGUGUAGAGGUGAAAUUCGUAGAUAUUCGGAAGAACACCAGUGGCGAAGGCGACUACCUGGUCUGGCAUUGACGCUCAUGUGCGAAAGCGUGGGGAGCAAACAGGAUUAGAUACCCCAGUAGUCCUUGUCUCUUAUAC
rnacentral:rRNA from 1 species